ACGCUGGCGGCGUGCUUAACACAUGCAAGUCGAACGGUGAAGCCAAGCUUGCUUGGUGGAUCAGUGGCGAACGGGUGAGUAACACGUGAGCAACCUGCCCUGGACUCUGGGAUAAGCGCUGGAAACGGCGUCUAAUACUGGAUAUGUGACGUGAUCGCAUGGUCGUGUUUGGAAAGAUUUUUCGGUCUGGGAUGGGCUCGCGGCCUAUCAGCUUGUUGGUGAGGUAAUGGCUCACCAAGGCGUCGACGGGUAGCCGGCCUGAGAGGGUGACCGGCCACACUGGGACUGAGACACGGCCCAGACUCCUACGGGAGGCAGCAGUGGGGAAUAUUGCACAAUGGGCGGAAGCCUGAUGCAGCAACGCCGCGUGAGGGAUGACGGCCUUCGGGUUGUAAACCUCUUUUAGCAGGGAAGAAGCGAAAGUGACGGUACCUGCAGAAAAAGCGCCGGCUAACUACGUGCCAGCAGCCGCGGUAAUACGUAGGGCGCAAGCGUUAUCCGGAAUUAUUGGGCGUAAAGAGCUCGUAGGCGGUUUGUCGCGUCUGCUGUGAAAUCCCGAGGCUCAACCUCGGGCCUGCAGUGGGUACGGGCAGACUAGAGUGCGGUAGGGGAGAUUGGAAUUCCUGGUGUAGCGGUGGAAUGCGCAGAUAUCAGGAGGAACACCGAUGGCGAAGGCAGAUCUCUGGGCCGUAACUGACGCUGAGGAGCGAAAGGGUGGGGAGCAAACAGGCUUAGAUACCCUGGUAGUCCACCCCGUAAACGUUGGGAACUAGUUGUGGGGACCAUUCCACGGUUUCCGUGACGCAGCUAACGCAUUAAGUUCCCCGCCUGGGGAGUACGGCCGCAAGGCUAAAACUCAAAGGAAUUGACGGGGACCCGCACAAGCGGCGGAGCAUGCGGAUUAAUUCGAUGCAACGCGAAGAACCUUACCAAGGCUUGACAUAUACGAGAACGGGCCAGAAAUGGUCAA
rnacentral:rRNA from 1 species